UUUGAGAACUUUCCUGAAUCUACUCCAACUGUUACCAGUACAAUGCAGCAUCGUGGAGCCUUGUGUUUCCAAGGGAAAAAAUCGAGAGGACUGAGGCUGGAAAACUGCAAAGAUAUUCCUGAAGGCGGCAAUUGAAAAGGAGCAGUGUAACUGCAUAACCCCGGCCGACAGGUUAGGCUGAGAACAAGACUAGAUGACACGCUGGAUGCCUUCAGGUAGAUGGUUUUCUGCAAAAGCAUAUUAAUUUUGAUAACGAAUACAUUUCUGCAGUUAUUGGUAAAACAGUAAAAGAAGAUUAUCUCUGUGACCCAGAGUUCAACUCAAAAUUUGUGCAAGCAAAAUUUCAGCUGCUGCUGCUUGGGUUGUUAACAUCAUUAGAGUCCAGGAGGUAGGAGCUAAACUGUUGUAAGUUUCUUCAGCUCGAAAUUUUUAAAUUUUGCUUUUUUCAGCUUUUCUUUUGUUAACACAAAGAACUCACUUCAUGCUUAUAGCCAU